AGAGUUUGAUUAUGGCUCAGGAUGAACGCUGGCGGCGUGCCUAACACAUGCAAGUCGAGCGAUUCUCUUCGGAGAAGAGCGGCGGACGGGUGAGUAACGCGUGGGUAACCUGCCUCAUACACAUGGAUAACAUACCGAAAGGUAUGCUAAUACAGGAUAACAUAAGAGAUUCACAUGGAUUUCUUAUCAAAGCUCCGGCGGUAUGAGAUGGAUCCGCGUCUGAUUAGCUAGUUGGUAAGGUAACGGCUUACCAAGGCGACGAUCAGUAGCCGACCUGAGAGGGUGAUCGGCCACAUUGGAACUGAGACACGGUCCAAACUCCUACGGGAGGCAGCAGGUGGGGAAUAUUGCACAAUGGGCGAAAGCCUGAUGCAGCAACGCCGCGUGAGUGAUGAAGGCCGUUCGGGUACGUAAAACUCUGUCCUCAAGGAAGAAUAAUGACGGUACUUGAGGGGGAAGCCCCGGCUAACUACGUGCCAGCAGCCGC
rnacentral:rRNA from 1 species